AUACGGAGGGGGUUAGCGUUGUUCGGAAUUACUGGGCGUAAAGCGCACGUAGGCGGACUGGAAAGUUGGGGGUGAAAUCCCGGGGCUCAACCCCGGAACUGCCCUCAAAACUGGAUGACUAGAGUCCGGGAGAGGUUGGCGGAAUUCCUAGUGUAGAGGUGAAAUUCGUAGACAUUAGGAAGAACACCAGUGGCGAAGGCGGCCAACUGGACCGGUACUGACGCUAAGGUGCGAAAGCGUGGGGAGCAAACAGGAUUAGAAACCCCUGUAGUCC
rnacentral:rRNA from 1 species